rnacentral:rRNA from 1 species
AAUGAACGCUGGCGGCGCGCCUAAUACAUGCAAGUCGAGCGAGAAGACGUAGCAAUACGUUUGUAAAGCGGCGAACGGGUGAGGAAUACAUGGGUAACCUACCCUCGAGUGGGGAAUAACUAGCCGAAAGGUUAGCUAAUACCGCGUACGCUUCUUGGACUUCGGUUCAGGGAGGAAAGCGAUACCGUGGGUAUCGCGCUCUUGGAUGGGCUCAUGUCCUAUCAGCUUGUUGGUGAGGUAACGGCUCACCAAGGCUUCGACGGGUAGCUGGUCUGAGAGGACGAUCAGCCACACUGGCACUGCGACACGGGCCAGACUCCUACGGGAGGCAGCAGUAAGGAAUAUUGCGCAAUGGGCGAAAGCCUGACGCAGCGACGCCGCGUGGGGGAUGAAGGUCUUCGGAUUGUAAACCUCUUUCAGCUCCGACGAAGCGAGAGUGACGGUAGGAGCAGAAGAAG